rnacentral:rRNA from 1 species
UCCUUUUUUUGAGAGUUUGAUCCUGGCUCAGGAUGAACGCUGGCGGCGUGCCUUAGGCAUGCAAGUCGAGCGGGCGUAGCCCGCAACAUCCAGCUUACAACAGACGACACACAACUGAUACAAUAGAAUACAUGGCUUUUCGAUUUGUAAAGUUCAACGUUUAUAACGAUGCACGAAAAUUGCAUCACGAAAUUGUAAUCAUUACAAAACGAUUUCCUAUAGAUUUUCUUUAUCUCAAAGACCAAUUAAGAAGAAGCUCGUUAUCAAUAAUUUUGGUUAUUGCUGAAGGUUCCGCGAAACGAUCUGAUAGAGAUUUUAAUCGAUAUAUUGAAAUGGGGAUGGGAUCAGCAAAUGAAACGGCUUCUGGUUUAGAUGUUGCUUUAUAUGAAAAGUUAAUUAAUACGGUUGAGCAUAAGAGAUUAUUAAAUUUAUGUGAGCAGAUUGUUAAUCAGUUGGGUGGAUUUUCCAAGACUUUAAUUAAGAAAUAGUAUAAGAAAUAGUUGUUUGUUGUUGGUUGCAUGUUGUGGGUUGCGUCAGCGGCAGACGGGUGAGUAAUGGUAAGGAAUCUACCUCAAAGUGGAGGACAUCUCGUCGAAAGACGGGGUAAUCCUGCAUAGCCCCGAUUUAAUCGGGGAAAGGGCUUAACUGCCCGCUUUGAGAGGAGCCUUACUCCUAUCAGCUUGUUGGUGGGGUAACGGCCUACCAAGGCUAUGACGGGUAGCUGGUGUCAGAGCAUGACCAGCCACAAUGGCACUUAGAUACGGGCCAUACACCUACGGGUGGCGCAACCAGGAAUCGUCGGCAAUGGACGAAAGUCUGACCGCGCGACGCCGCGUGAGGGAUGAAGCAUUUCGGUGUGUAAACCUCUUUUAUCAGGGAAAAGAGAGGAUGGUACCUGAUGAAUAAGCGCCUACUAACUACGUGCCAGCAGUCGCGGUAAUACGUAGGGCGCAAGCGUUAUCCGAAUUUACUGGGCGUAAAAGGUCGCGUAGGCGGUCUUUUGCAUCUUAUCUUAAAUGGUUCGGCUUAACCGGAUCACGGGUAAGAGAUGAAAAGACUUUGAGAUUUGGUGGGGUUUCCGGAACAGACGGUGUAGCAGUGAAAUGCGUUGAUAUCGUCUGGAACACCAAGAGCGUAAGCAGGAAACCAACCUUUAUCUGACGCUGAGGCACGAAAGCUAGGGGAGCGAAGCAGAUUAGAGACCUGCGUAGUCCUAGCUGUAAAUUAAAACUCAAAGGAAUUGGCGGGGACCCGCACAACCGGUGGAGCAUGUGGUUCAAUUCGAGACGAAGCGAAAGACCUCACCAGGGUUUGACAUGGUACCGUUUAUCCAUCCAGAAAUGGGAGGAAAUCCGCAAGGAUGGUACCACAGCUGCUGCAUGGCUGUCGUCAGUUCGUACCGUGAGGUGUUCCCUUAAGUGGGAUAACGAACGCAACCCCUAUCCUUUGUUAAAUUUUUCAAAGGAAACGGUCCAAACGUAUGUUUGGAAGGAAGGUGGGGAUGACGUCAAGUCAGCACGGCGCUUAUGCCCUGGGCUACACACAUCCUACAAUGGCGAAUAACAACGGGAAGCAAGACGGUGACGUUAAGCAAAUCCCUCAAAUUUCGCCUCAGUUGGGAUUGCAGUCUGCAACUCGACUGCAUGAACGCGGAAUCGGUAGUAAUCGCGGAUCAGCAUGGUCGCGGUGAAUACGUUCUCGGGUCUUGCACACACCGCCCGUCAAGCCAACAAAGUCGGGGGCGGCCGAUGCCCCGCCUAUGGCGGGGUGAAGCCGAACUCGGUGAUGGGGACUAAGUCGUAACAAGGUAUCCCUACUGGAAGGUGGGGAUGGAUCACCUCCUUUCU